rnacentral:rRNA from 1 species
UACGUAGGGUGCAAGCGUUGUUCGGAAUUACUGGGCGUAAAGCGCACGUAGGCGGAUUGUUAAGUUAGGGGUGAAAUCCCAGGGCUCAACCCUGGAACUGCCUUUAAUACUGGCAAUCUCGAGUCCGAGAGAGGUGAGUGGAAUUCCGAGUGUAGAGGUGAAAUUCGUAGAUAUUCGGAGGAACACCAGUGGCGAAGGCGGCUCACUGGCUCGGUACUGACGCUGAGGUGCGAAAGCGUGGGGAGCAAACAGG